AGCAGGCGACUCCUCGGCGCCAUCGCUGUCGCUGGAAUCAGCCGCGCGCUGCCGAAAAGUCCUUUUCGGCCUGUGAGCCAUGGCCGAGGCCCGAGCGCCCGGCGCCCUAGAACCCGCUGAACCGCAAGCCGCAGCUUCAGUGCCCGCCCCCUAGGGCGCGCUCCCGCCGCGCCUGGCCGCCGAGUGCGCGCGCCCGUCCCGCCUGCCUUCUGCUCACCGCUACUCUGUCUGCGCCUGCGUGCUUUGGCUCCCUGGAUCUGGUAGGCCGAGUUCUGUUCUGGGGCCUGAGUUUGCAAAGCAUUCCCUUUGCCAGGUUAGGUUGCGUGGACUGACACCUUAGAGAUUUUCACGGCCUAUCCGGUCUGAGUCCCACGGAGAGCAGAACUCACGUGCUGUCCUUGUGCAAACCCCAUCCAGAAAUCAAGCGUUAUGCUUUCCGUCCUGGACUGGAGCCAGAUCCGUUGUCUUUUACUUUCUGGAGAGAGUGCCCCCUCCAACCAAGAUUUAAAACAAACGAAACCCCAGCAGUGUGAGGCUCGGGGUAGGAGGAGAUGCCUUUGAGAACAAAACCAUAAAGUCUGUACAUAAACAAUGCAUACAGACUAGCAAAAAUCAAAUGACUUCCCCCAGGCAGCAGGGCUUCAAGAGAGCCUGGUUAAAUGUUUUCACCCUUAAAGAAACUAUCUAAAAACAAAAAGCUAUUGUCUGACGCAAAUUUGUUCUAUAUUCAUCAAGCUCUGUCUACUACUGUAUCUGUAUGGUAGAAAUACUAUAUAAUGUUGAGCUACUGCACACCUGUUAUCAACUCCAUGUUUAGUGGCGUCAUAUUGAGAGGUGACAGCGGGCCAGCUGGAGUUCCGGGUGGGCAUGGGCUUGGCGGGCCUGCACUCGGAGCAGCCGGCCGGCCCUGCCAGCCCCGGGCAGUGAGGGACUUGGCACCCGGGCCAGCGGCUACAGAGGGUGUACUGGGUCCCCUAGCAGUGCCGGCCCACCGGCGCUGUGCUCGAUUUCUCGCCGGGCCUUAGCUGCCUUCCCGCGGUGCAGGGCUCGGGACCUGCAGCCCGCCAUGCCUGAGCCUCCCAUCCACUCCAUGGGCUCCUGUGCUGCCCGAGCAUCCCCGACGAGCACCACCCCCUGCUCCACGGCGCCCAGUCCCAUCGACCACCCAAGGGCUGAGGAGUACGAGCGCACGGCGCCGGACUGGCAGGCAGCUCCACCUGCAGCCCCGGUGCGGGAUCCACUAGGUGAAGCCAGUUGGGCUCCUGAGUCUGGUGGGGACAUAGAGAGUCUUUAUGUCUAGCUCAGGGAUUGUAAAUACACCAAUCAGCACUCUGUAUCUGGCUCAAGGUUUGUAAACACACCAAUCAGCACCCUGUGUUUAGCUCAAGGUUUAUGAGUGCACCAAUCGACACUCUGUAUCUAGCUGCUCUGGUGGGGCCUUGGAGAACCUUUAUGUCUAGCUCAGGGAUUGUAAAAACACCAAUCGGCACUCUGUAUCUAGCUCAAGGUUUGUAAACCCACCAAUCAGCACCCUGUGUUUAGCUCAAGGUUUGUGAGUGCACCAAUAGACAUUCUAUCUAGCUGCUCUGGUGAGGCCUUGGAGAACCUGUGUGUGGAAACUCUGUAUCUAACUAAUCUGAUGGGGAUGUGGAGAACUUUUGUAUCUAGCUCAGGGAUUGUAAACGCACCAAUCACGGCCCUGUCAAAACAGGCCGCUGGGCUCUACCAAUCAGCAGGAUGUGGGUGGGGCCAGAUAAGAGAAUAAAAGCAGGCUGCCCCAGCCAGCAGUGGCAACCCGCUCCGGUCCCCUUCCACAGUGUGGAAGCUUUGUUCUUUCGCUCUUUGCAAUAAAUCUUGCUACUGCUGACUCUUUGGGUCCACGUGGCUUUUAUGAGCUGUAACACUCACCGUGAAGAUCUGCAGCUUCAUUCCUGAGCCCAGCGAGACCACAAACCCACCAGAAGGAAGAAACUCCAAACACAUCUGAACAUCAGAAGGGGCAGACCCCAGACGCGCCACCUUAAGAGCUGUAACGCUCACCGCGAGGGUCCGCAGCUUCAUUCUUGAAAUCAGUGAGACCAAGAACCCACCAAUUCCGGACACAAUAUUGGCACCUUGAAAUCAGCCAUAAAGGGACUACUUAUACCAUAUAAAUUGGAAGACCUUAGAAGUCCAGGUGUUUCUCCCAGAUAUCCAGUCAUUAAACAUUUACCAUUGUAUCACUGACUAUAUGUCACCAAAGGAAUCGAGAAGAGGCAAAGUUUCUCUGAUUGACCUAGCCCCGGAAUUUUUUUUUCUUGGCUUUGUCUUUUUUUCUUGGCUUUUCUCAAUAAACUGAAACUCCUUGAUGUAAAUUUGGGAAAUUAUAUGAUACAGUAUUAUCAGUUAUUCACAAGUUAUUAAUGUCUUAUUAUAAAGAGAGGCUUCUCUUUUUAAAUCCAGCCCACAGAAACCACAAUUCUACUCUCUGAUUUUAUGAGUCUGA
rnacentral:lncRNA from 1 species